GCCGCAUUAGCUCAGUUGGUAGAGCACAUCAUUCGUAAUGAUGGGGUCGUUGGUUCGAUUCCGACAUGCGGCA
rnacentral:tRNA from 1 species